UGUCAAACUGCAGGACACUUCCAUGUGUUAGGCCUCUAGGUGCACCCAUUCGGCGCCAAACGUCUUCCUGGCUGCUUGCGCUUGGUGAGCUAACCAAAAACCGCCUCCAUGGACAGCUAACUCCAUUGACCAGUAGCUCAACGGCCAACCAACCUCUUCACUCCUGCACUUGCAUUGCCGCCGUCUCCUCCUAUAAAAACACCCCUCCUGCAACCCUCACUUCGCACCACGCAAAACACAUUCCGACGAUCCAACACAGAACAUAAAGCUAUCAGCAGCAUCAGCUCGCUAGCUCGACCAGAUGGCUUCGUCCCUGACCGUGUCGACGACGACGGCGACCGGGGCGGCGGCCGGCACCGCCGCGGCCAACAAGCAGCGCGAGGGCGCGGAGGUCAUCACAGGCGCGGAGGCGUGCUUCGCGCACUCCAAGGAGAUGCUCAAGGCGCUGGGGUUCCCGGGCGGGGUGAUGCCGCUGCGGGGGCUGGAGGAGUGCGGGUGGGUGAAGGAGACCGGGUUCGUGUGGAUGCGGCAGAAGGCGCCCUACGAGCACUACUUCCGGGGCACGGGCACCCGGGUGCGCUACGACGCCGAGGUCACCGCGUACGUGGAGGAGGGCCGGAUGAAGCGCAUGACGGGGGUGCGCAGCAAGCAGGUCCUGCUCUGGGUGCCCAUCGUCGAGAUGAGCCUCGACGGCGAGAAGCGCGACAAGAUCUACUUCAAGUCCAACGUCGGGAUCGGCCGAUCGUUCCCCGCCUCCGCGUUCGCCGACGAGGAGGAGAAGGAAGAGAAGGAGGAGGGCGGCGACAAGCCCGCCGGUGCCGACGAGGAGAAGAAGGGGGAGGUGGGCGGCGACAAGCCCGCUGAUGCCGACGCCGCCACCAAGUGAGAGCGCGGGGCGU
rnacentral:lncRNA from 1 species